rnacentral:rRNA from 1 species
GAUGAACGCUGGCGGCGUGCCUAAUACAUGCAAGUCGAGCGAACGGACGAGAAGCUUUCUUCUCUGAUGUUAGCGUCGGACGGGUGAGUAACACGUGUAUAACCUACCUAUAAUACUGGGAUAACUUCGGGAAACCGGAGCUAUUACCGGAUAAUAUUUUGAACCGCAUGGUUCAAAAGUGAUAGACGGUCUUUCUUUCACUUAUAGAUUGAUCCGGGCUGCAUUAGCUAGUUGGUAAGGUAACGGCUUACCAAGGCAACGAUGGAUAUCCGACCGGUUAGGGGGAUCGGCCACACGGGAACUGAGACAGGGUCCAGACUACUACGGGAGGAAGCAGUAGGGAAUCUUCCGCAAUGGGCGAAAGCCUGACGGAGCAACGCCGCGUGAGUGAUGAAGGUCUUCGGAUCGUAAAACUCUGUUAUUAGGGAAGAAGAUAUGUGUAAGUAACUGUGCAAAGCUUGACGGUACCGAAUCAGAAAGCCACGGCUAACUACGUG